rnacentral:rRNA from 1 species
CCUUACCUGGCCUUGACAUCCAGAGAACUUUCCAGAGAUGGAUUGGUGCCUUCGGGAACUCUGAGACAGGUGCUGCAUGGCCGUCGUCAGCUCGUGUCGUGAGAUGUUGGGUUAAGUCCCGUAACGAGCGCAACCCCUAUCCCUGGUUGCUAGCAGGUAAUGCUGAGAACUCCAGGGAGACUGCCGGUGACAAACCGGAGGAAGGUGGGGAUGACGUCAGGUCAUCAUGGCCCUUACGGCCAGGGCUACACACGUGCUACAAUGGCGCGUACAGAGGGCUACCAACUCGCGAGAGUGAGCCAAUCCCUUAAAACGCGUCGUAGUCCGGAUCGGAGUCUGCAACUCGACUCCGUGAAGUCGGAAUCGCUAGUAAUCGCGAAUCAGAAUGUCGCGGUGAAUACGUUCCC